rnacentral:rRNA from 1 species
GAUGAACGCUGGCGGCGUGCCUAAUACAUGCAAGUCGAGCGAACUGAUUAGAAGCUUGCUUCUAUGACGUUAGCGGCGGACGGGUGAGUAACACGUGGGCAACCUGCCUGUAAGACUGGGAUAACUUCGGGAAACCGAAGCUAAUACCGGAUAGGAUCUUCUCCUUCAUGGGAGAUGAUUGAAAGAUGGUUUCGGCUAUCACUUACAGAUGGGCCCGCGGUGCAUUAGCUAGUUGGUGAGGUAACGGCUCACCAAGGCAACGAUGCAUAGCCGACCUGAGAGGGUGAUCGGCCACACUGGGACUGAGACACGGCCCAGACUCCUACGGGAGGCAGCAGUAGGGAAUCUUCCGCAAUGGACGAAAGUCUGACGGAGCAACGCCGCGUGAGUGAUGAAGGCUUUCGGGUCGUAAAACUCUGUUGUUAGGGAAGAACAAGUACGAGAGUAACUGCUCGUACCUUGACGGUACCUAACCAGAAAGCCACGGCUAACUACGUGCCAGCCGCCGCAGUAACAC